CUCAUUAAGGUGGGUGGAAUAGUAUAACAAUAUGCUAUAUGUUGUUAUAGUAUCCCACCUACCCUGAUGUG
rfam:Otolemur garnettii contig114654, whole genome shotgun sequence.